rnacentral:lncRNA from 1 species
AAGCGAGUGCAGAAAAUAAAUAAGAUAAAGCGAGUGCGGAAAAUAAAUAAAAGUAAAGCGAGUGCGGAAAAUAAAUAAAAUAAAAGCGAUGCGGGAAAUAAAUAAAAUAAAAGCGAUGCAGGAAAUAAAUAAAUAAAGCGAUAAAUAAGAACCUGCUCCAAAUGGAGGGCUUUAAAUCUGGUACAAAAAUAAACCUCUGAUUCCUG